GUGCUCGCUUCAGCAGUAGUUAGACGAAAAUUGGAAUGACACAGAGAGAAUCGGCACAGCCCCUGCACAAGGAUGACAUGCAAAUUCGUGAAGUGUUCCACCUUCAU
ensembl:snRNA U6 U6 spliceosomal RNA